AUUAAACCACUUUCAUUUUAUUGUUUUGUUUUAAAGCAACUUAAAUACAUUGAAUUGGCUAUCCAAAAUAUGCAAAUGAUAAUAUUUCACGAAGAGGCUAGAGACCUCCAGACCAUGUACAAGCAACCUGACCCUCUGUGUGAGCUGGCUGAUGAAUGUUACAAGGUCGGCUGCCUGCUGGCUUUACACAAUCCACCUCUGCUGCUCGACUGGGAGAAAAAAGAGCCGUCAGAUUACCUGCCACCAAUUACGAUGGAAGACACAUCUGCAAAGACAGCUCUGUAGAUUUAAAAUCCAGCAUUAGAGAGAUUAGAGACCUCAUGUAAAGAUUGAUUUAGAUUCUAUACAUUUUAUACUUAAUAAACCAAUAGUCACUACUUUUAAUGUGAAUGGUUAGGGGUUGGAAAGCAUAAUUUUGUCACUACUUUUAGUAAAUAUGGCAUUUUUCAAUUAAAAUUAAAAAUACAAUUAUUGGGCCAUUACAUGAAUAAAAUCAAAAAUCAUGUUCCUGCAUGACAUUCAGUCAGAUAUGAUUUUUUCUUAAGCCCAGCUCACACUGUGAUUUUAGCCACAAUAUUUUAAAAAACCUAUAAUCCUAAAAAAUCCUGAGCUAAAAUCUGUAUUCUUUGUUCGUUAGUUCCAUUGGUUCACAAUAAAAAUUUUUUACGUCUGACGAGAUUCUGGCAGUAUCAGAAGAUUCUUUGCAUGGUGACAUCUCCUAUGACGAACAUCAAACAUUUUCAUAUUUCAAGAGAUUUCUAGAGAUUUCUUCUAAAUGGCAUAUACUCCUGCACUCUCGUCUUCCACUUGUUAAAUCCAUCUGAUAUGUUGGCUUUCCUAUGUUAAUGGUACUCCUCAUAAUAUUUUUCUUAAAUAUGUUGGUUUUACCAGCAUUCAUAUACUUUUCGUGAUAACCAACAUUUAAGCCCAAUGUGCAAUCCAGCGACACUUAAUAAUGUGAACAAUAUUUUUUUGUGAGCACCCUUUUCUAAUUCAUUAUGACAGUCGUACUGUGUAACAUUAGUAACAACAGAGAUCCCACAGAUCAUCAUGUUCAUACAGUCUGACAAGUACAAGUGUAAAGGACAUAAAAAUAGCAUACUAUGAGUCUGGAUUUUUAAUUCUGUCAUCAUCUACUCACCCUCUAGUACUUCCAAGUCUGUAUGAAUUUCUUUGUUCUGCCAAACACAAAGGAACAUAUUUUAAAUAAAGUUUGUAACCAGGU